rnacentral:tRNA from 1 species
UUAGCUCAGUUGGUAGAGCGGCGCGUUUACAUCGCGUAGGUCGGCGGUUCGCCCGUUCCGUCGGUCG